rnacentral:rRNA from 1 species
GGCGGCGUGCCUAAUACAUGCAAGUCGCACGGACACCUUCGGGUGUCAGUGGCGGACGGGUGAGUAACACGUGGGUAACCUGCCUCACAGCCUGGGAUAACGCCUGGAAACGGGUGCUAAUCCCGGAUAGAUUCUUACGCCGCAUGGUGUAGGGAGGAAAGCUGCCGCAAUGCAGCACUGAGAGAUGGGCCCGCGGCGCAUUAGCUAGUUGGUGAGGUAACGGCCCACCAAGGCGACGAUGCGUAGCCGACCUGAGAGGGUGACCGGCCACACUGGGACUGAGACACGGCCCAGACUCCUACGGGAGGCAGCAGUAGGGAAUCUUCCGCAAUGGGCGCAAGCCUGACGGAGCAACGCCGCGUGAGUGAAGACGGUCUUCGGAUUGUAAAGCUCUGUUGCCAGAGACGAGCGGAUAGGAGAGGGAAUGCUCCUAUCGAGACGGUAUCUGGUCAGAAAGCCCCGGCUAACUACGUGCCAGCAGCCGCGGUAAUACGUAGGGGGCAAGCGUUGUCCGGAAUGACUGGGCGUAAAGCGCGCGCAAGCGGUCUAUCACGUCUGGGGUGAAAGUUCAGGGCUCAACCCCUGAGAUG